rnacentral:rRNA from 1 species
CCGCACAAGCGGUGGAGCAUGUGGUUUAAUUCGAAGCAACGCGAAGAACCUUACCAAAUCUUGACAUCCUUUGACAACUCUAGAGAUAGAGCCUUCCCCUUCGGGGGACAAAGUGACAGGUGGUGCAUGGUUGUCGUCAGCUCGUGUCGUGAGAUGUUGGGUUAAGUCCCGCAACGAGCGCAACCCUUAAGCUUAGUUGCCAUCAUUAAGUUGGGCACUCUAAGUUGACUGCCGGUGACAAACCGGAGGAAGGUGGGGAUGACGUCAAAUCAUCAUGCCCCUUAUGAUUUGGGCUACACACGUGCUACAAUGGACAAUACAAAGGGCAGCGAAACCGCGAGGUCAAGCAAAUCCCAUAAAGUUGUUCUCAGUUCGGAUUGUAGUCUGCAACUCGACUACAUGAAGCUGGAAUCGCUAGUAAUCGUAGAUCAGCAUGCUACGGUGAAUACGUUCCCGGGUCUUGUACACACCGCCCGUCACACCACGAGAGUUUGUAACACCCGAAGCCGGUGGAGUAACCUUUUAGGAGCUAGCCGUCGAAGGUGGGACAAAUGAUUGGGGUGAAGUCGUAACAAGGUAGCCGUAUCGGAAGGUGCGGCUGGAUCACCUCCUUU